rnacentral:rRNA from 1 species
AGUAACGGCGAGUGAAGCGGCAAGAGCUCAAAUUUGAAAGCUGGCUCCUUCGGGGUCCGCAUUGUAAUUUGCAGAGGAUGCUUCGGGAGCGGUCCCCAUCUAAGUGCCCUGGAACGGGACGUCAUAGAGGGUGAGAAUCCCGUAUGGGAUGGGGUGUCCGCGCCCGUGUGAAGCUCCUUCGACGAGUCGAGUUGUUUGGGAAUGCAGCUCUAAAUGGGUGGUAAAUUUCAUCUAAAGCUAAAUAUUGGCCGGAGACCGAUAGCGCACAAGUAGAGUGAUCGAAAGAUGAAAAGCACUUUGAAAAGAGAGUUAAAAAGCACGUGAAAUUGUUGAAAGGGAAGCGCUUGCGACCAGACUCGCUCGCGGGGUUCAGCCGGCAUUCGUGCCGGUGUACUUCCCCGCGGGCGGGCCAGCGUCGGUUUGGGCGGUCGGUCAAAGGCUCUCGGAAGGUAACGCCCCCUCGGGGGCGUCUUAUAGCCGAGGGUGCAAUGCGACCUGCCUGGACCGAGGAACGCGCUUCGG